GCAUGGAAUAAUGGAAUAGGACUUCGGUUCUAUUUCGUUGGUUUUCGGAUCCGAAGUAAUGAUCAAAAGAGACAGGCGGGGACGUUUGUAUGGUUGCGCUAGAGGUGAAAUUCAUGGACCGUAACCAGACAAACUAAAGCGAAAGCAUUCGUCAAGCAUGUUUUCAUUGGCCAUGAGCGAAAGUCAGAGGCUCGAAGACGAUCAGAUACCGUCCUAGUUCUGACCAUAAACGAUGCCAACUGACGAUCCGUGGUGGUAG
rnacentral:rRNA from 1 species